rnacentral:rRNA from 1 species
GACGAACGCUGGCGGCGUGCUUAACACAUGCAAGUCGAACGGAAAGGCCCUGCUUGCAGGGUACUCGAGUGGCGAACGGGUGAGUAACACGUGGGUGAUCUGCCCUGCACUUCGGGAUAAGCCUGGGAAACUGGGUCUAAUACCGGAUAGGAGCCAUUCUUAGUGUGAUGGUUGGAAAGUUUUUUCGGUGUAGGAUGAGCUCGCGGCCUAUCAGCUUGUUGGUGGGGUAAUGGCCUACCAAGGCGGCGACGGGUAGCCGGCCUGAGAGGGUGGACGGCCACAUUGGGACUGAGAUACGGCCCAGACUCCUACGGGAGGCAGCAGUGGGGAAUAUUGCACAAUGGGCGCAAGCCUGAUGCAGCGACGCCGCGUGGGGGAUGACGGCCUUCGGGUUGUAAACUCCGUUCGCUAGGGACGAAGCUUUUUGUGACGGUACCUAGAUAAGAAGCACCGGCUAACUACGUG